rnacentral:lncRNA from 1 species
AAAAAGAACUCCUCUGAAAACAGAAUAGGCAAGUGGGUAGGGGAUGGAGAGGGGCUCUAAGCCAAACUAUUCUUUCAUAUUAUCAUACAGAAUUUAAUACUAUGUAUUCAAACAAUAGCUUUUCUGAUUUACUGACACAACAACAAAUUAUCAUAGCUCAUUUUGUUUGUUUCCGUUACACUUGGAGAUCCACAGGAAACAACGAUUUGUUAACCAAGUCAACUGAAAGCAGAGUUUCGAAAAUCAUUUUAGAAAAACAUCUUACAUUUCAAAUACAGAAUAUAUCCUAGGAGUUGAGCUAAAGAACUACGGUGCAUACAAAAGUCUCUGAUGACUGUCUACCACUAUGCUUUUAGAGUUAAUAUUAUAAAAGCCCACAUUUCCCUUAACUUCUUGAUUACUGAGAUGACAAAGUCAAAGGUCUACUUUCUAUUCAAAAUUCAAAGACAACACUCUCUAUUAUGGCAAGGCUCCUCAGAAAUAAGACCUAACUCAGCCAACAGAAACAUCAUCUGUUCGAAUUAUCGGAACUAUAGAUGUCUUUUCUACACCACAAAAACAUCACUUCUCCAAUAUAAUCUCAUACUUUAGCAAUAAAAAAAAAACCUAUCAUUUUCAUUUAAUUAUAAUGAGAAAGUCCAUGAAUUCUUAUAUGAUGCAGAGCAAAAUGUUAUGAUUUCACUCAUAAGUAUGGUCCUCAACUCUAAAAGGCACUGAUUUUUUCCCCUGUCCUCUCCCACCCCACUGUACCUCCUGGCUCAAACACAUCCAUGGUAGUCUCUAAGUCUCCAUCUCCCCCAUGCUAUCUUAGGAAUCAGAAAGAGACAGAAUGAAGGGAUCAGUUGAAACAAAACAAAACAAAACCUCAAAUAGAAUGAAGAACCAAAGACAGAUAAAGAAAAUAAGGAAGAGAGACAGGAAAAGGAAGGAGAUUUAAGCAUAGGGUAUUUCAAGGUACUCAUUUUUUUUUUAAUGUUUAUUUAUUUAUUUUGAGAGAGAGAACUAGUGUGCACGUGGGGGUGGGGGGGGCACAGAGAGUGGAGACAGAGAGACAGAGAAUCCUAAGCAGGCUCUGUACUGUCAGCACAGAGCCCCACAUGGGACUCAAUCCCACAAACCCUGAGAUCAUGACCUGAGCCAAAACUAAGAGUCUGACUCUCAACUAAAUGAGCCACCCAGGCACCCCACAAGGUACUCAUUUUUAAAACAGAAAAUCAUGAUUCUAAUUUUAGAGACAAGUAGAAAACUACUACUUGGAUUUCUUUUAUGUUAACUCAUUAACUCAGUAUUAUUGUUAAUCUAGUGUAGUAUGAGAAUAUUAAGUCCUGAAAUCACAAUCUCAACAUUAAAAAGAUAAUCUCAAUCCUCAAGUGAUUUAUAACAUUUUCCUAAAAUUUAAUGGCCUCAAACAUCAACUUCUAUAACUUUUUAAAAAUUUCUUGCACUAGAAAAUUUAAAAGCUAUGAUUAAUUACUAUCGUACUGUAGCAAAACAAGCAAGGGAGGGAGAAAAAGUACAAUGAUUAUUAAAUGUAAUGACUCUGAGGAUUCCACAGAUGUUUGGUUAGGAUAAAGGUAAUUAACUGAGUUCCUGAGUAAGCCAUUUAGUCCUAUUCUUACAACUCCACUAAUAGGGAAGGCAUGAGCACCUAAAAAGUGGAUGCAUUUGCCCUAAAUCAAUCAUCAAUAGUAGCAGCUUAGAAUACAAAUAUAUCCUAUGUUUCAUUACAGCAAUAUUUCCUAUAAAUGUCCCCAUAAACUAAAUGUCUUGAAAAUUUCAAUAUUUCAGCUUCUAAACCUGCACUGUCCACUAAGAAUUAAGAAUUUCCACUAAGAAUGCCACCAACCCUAUGUGGCUAUUUAAAUUUUAAUUAAAAUUAAGUAAGAUUUAAAAUUCAGUUCUUUAUUGCAUCGACCAUAUUCUGCAUGCUCAAUAGCACAAUGGCUACCAUACUGGACAGCAGAGAACAUUUCCAUCACUCCAGAAGGAUAGUACUGUUGUAAACUAUUUCUUCUUGUGUCUGAAAGCAAUGGAAAUUCAUUUUCAGACCAUGUAUAAUUUAAUAUUAUAUAUUAUAUUAUAUAUAAAUAUAAUUUAAUUAUAUUAUAUAAUAAUAUUCUUUUGUUUAAAACUAUAGUUUUUGUGAUUGGAUUGACUGCCUUAAGUAACUGGUGCUCCUUAAUUUCCUAUCUAAUCAAAUAUAGAAAGCAGCAGCAAAAAACACUUCUGGGGAAUAGCAGUAAGAUAAACAGUUUAUUUACUCUCUCUAUAUAGAGAGAGGUGGUCCCAUCAAGCUAAAAAAGCACUAGGCAAAAGUGCAACUUAAUAAAGUCUCCAAGACUGAGUUGCUGUUUGAUCUUAGGAAAGAUUCUUCAUUCCUUUAUCCCUUAUACUGCUUAUUUUUACAAAAGUGGCAAUGCCUGACAAAUUGACAAUCUCAUAUGGUUACCCUGAAACUAAUGACCUAUGUGGUUCAAAUAUUCUUACAAUGAAUUUUAAAAGACGAGAACUUGUUUAAGUAAUAUUUUCUGCAUGAAAAUCCCCAUUCCCUGAUUUGCUUAACUGCAUAUCUCAACCUCUUCCUCCUCCUCUUUCAUUUGUCAUUUCUUUGAUCCACUUCCUCACCCACCCAGUCUUCUUCUGGUCCCAGAUUCCACAUGGCAAUGAAUCUCACCUCAGACUAAAUAGACAGUAAAGAGCCAGUUAUAUUUUGACUGGUUUCUCUCCACCCCAUCCUGAUGUCACUGCCACCUCACCUGCCCAAACAAUGUACAGACAAUGCGAUCAGAAAGUGAGAAACCUUUUCCCUCAUUUCCACCACUCAUCAACUAGGCUCUCCGAUUCCUAAGCUCCUCAUCUAGAAAUUGAACCACUCUUAGCCCAUCCCAGGGUAAAGCUAGACAAAUGCACAGGAUUUGAGAUAUGUUACUCAAAAUAACACCAUACUAUACUCAUAUAAAAGCAUCUAUAAAACACUGAAUACAUAUAAAAUAUUUGAAUGGUUCCUCAGAAUUACACAAAUUAAGGAUCUGAUCAUAUAUUUUAUGCUGAUUUGUUAAUGAGAGAAAAUGGGCAUGGGAUACAAGAAAAAACAGAGGCAGAGAUAUAUAAUUGAAAUGAUGCAGUUAAAUAUGACUAGUCACUGGCUCAGAUGUAUUGGCUAAAUAAAAUUAUUACAUGUAACACUGUCUUUAAAAAAAUACCCUAACAACAUAUAUGUCUAAGCAUAUAUGCCCAAAGCCCCAAUUCUGCACAUGAAAACUAAUACCACAAAGUAUCCUAGUAGUUAAUUAUUUAGUACUAAGUAUCAGUCAGGGACACACUCCAAGUUAAACAAAAUGGGUUUUCAUCUGUUUUAAAUCAAAUACAUUAAAAAAGGUUUUAAAAAGGAAUUGAAAAUGAAAACCAAAUUAAAACAAAGAUUAUGUUAUGUUACUCACCUACUUAGUAAAAGAGAGUAUCACAAAAUCAGCAUUCUAUUUUUACAAAUAAACUUCCAUUUGUCUGGAAUAAAUACAUUUUACAAAUUCAACUUUAUACAUAUAUGAAAUUUACAUACACGAAAUUUACAUAUAUAUGAAAUUUACAUAUACAACAGUAAAUCUCAAAUACAGAUGUGAACCUUUCCCAAUGCAAAUUACAAACCUGUGCAAAAAUCUUAACCAGCCGGGAGUUGUGUGAGGGUCGAAUCUGCAAAUAUUCUCUCCACCACUGCUUAGCAUAUACAAGAAAUAAUCGUUCUUUCUCUGCAGUUUUCUGACGUUCCAAAGCAAGCUUGAAAUUUAAAAAAUAUAUUUUUUCAAUUUCUAUUUCUUCUCCUUAAUUAAAUACCGUAACAAUUCUACAUACUGCUCCCCAUCUCUACCACUACCCUAAUCUAAACCACCAUCAUCGUCAUCAUUUGUAAGAGCCCCUGACUUCCCAGUUUAAUUUUUCUUUGAGAGAGAGCAUGUGCAUGUGCACAUACACACACGUGUGUGUACCAGCUGGGAGGGGUAGAGAGAGAAGGAGAGAGAAUUCCAAGUAGGCUCUACGCUGUCAGUGCAGAGCCCGACGCGGGGCUCCAUCUCAAGUGUGAGAUGACCUGAGCCAAAACCAAGAGUUGGCACUCAACUGAGCCACCCAGAAGCCCCUGACUUCCCUGUUUCUGCAUACCCUCUCUACAAUCUGGUCUACAUAUAUUAGUGAUCUUUAUUCUCCCAAGACAAAAAUUUAAUAAUCAUAUUGUCAUUCUCUUGCUUAAAACUAAUAAAUGAUAAUUUUCUAAGAAAACACUGUCUAGGAUCAACAGGUAAAUAUACAACUAUGAAAACAAAUACACAAAGAAAAGAAAUUCAGAAUUAUUUACCUGUGUGUUCACUACUUCUUGAGAUAAUGUUUGAUUGAGUGGUGGGUACAUCUCAAGUUUUAUAUUUAAAAUUCCCACAGAAACUUUUGAUUCUGUGCCUAUAAAUAUAAAUAUUUAGAACUUCAGAGGUUUCAAAACUAUGUAUACUUAGUCAACCAAAGUCCAACCAAAAUAAUUUAAGAAUUUUGUGUUUCCACUUACAUGAAAUAGGUAAUAUUCAACAUCACCUUUAAUAUUCAUAUUAUUUGAGCCAGAUCAAAUUAUUUUUAUUUUGUACAAAGGCCUUUAUCUAAUUAUAAGAUUACCCAUUUUCUGACCUUCCUAAUCACAUUUUAAGGGACUUUUGGGAUCUAAUUGAUUUGGGAUUCUUAAUUUUUAAUCUCAUUAAAUGUACGCCAACAUUUACAUUAAAAACAAAGUCAAAACAACUGUUAAAAUCUCACUCUCAGAAAAUAUUUAUACUCUGUCAUCCAAAGUAAUUCCCAUUUAUUUCUUCCCAUUUUUCACAUCACCUGUGAGUACAAAUUUUCAAUCCUUGCUUGGAUUUAAGGAAUCAGAAAACAAAUACACUUUAUACCAGAACUAUUUACUAUUUCAUUGGUGAAUCACUUGUUUCUUGGUCAUUAUUAUGAUAAUCAUGUUAGGCCUAUAUUUGAAGACAAAUAAUGGGUAUCUCUUUUGAAAAUAAAUAUCCCACAUAAAUUUUUUUCCCCUACUUUCUAUUUAAGGAAAAACACAUUCUGGGUCUGACUUACCAAAAUCUAAAGUACUAAAGCUAUACUGUCCACAAGCCAGGUUUGAUUCUGUGACUUAGUUUCAAUACCAAACUAAUUCCCUUACAGGUUAUGCAUAAAAUACUGGCAGGUUUCAUUUUGUUUUUCACUGUUAUUAGCAAAUACAGUAUGUAUUAUACAUCAAGAAGUACGAAAGAGUCCAAGGAGACAAUGGUAAGACAGGCACCACCUCUGUCCUCAAAGAGUACUAUUCACUCACUGAUCCUGUCAAUGAGCAAGUUAACACUUCUUUGAGUCCCACAUUCCCACAUGUAACAGGAUGGAAGAAUAUCAACUCCACAUCUGAAUUACUGCUGUAGGAAGACACUAGUACUAAUGGGGAUGCACCGAACAUCGGAGUGUGCUGAACUAUAAGAUUUUUGCAUAUGCAUACAUGCAUGUGUGUGAAAAAUCUUAAUUUUCUUUACAGCCUUACAUAUUAUCAGAUCGAUAUGGAGAGGAGAAAAAAGCUAUCAAAAUUUCUCUAUUCAUUUCCCAUAAAAAUUUUUUUCCUUAAGACAAGGUCAGAUUGACUGUGAAGUUCUAUAGUCAUAGCACACUUCAAGACAUUUCCUAAGACUGUAAUACUGGAGUCCAACUGUAAUUCUAAUGAAAUUUUUACAUGUUUCCUUCUUGGGUUAUAAAGGCAUUCGGAAAACAUAAAAUGUAUUUACAAACAAACUGGUUACAAAAAGGUGACAGUGAUUAGUUAUCAUACCUACACCCAUAAGUUCCACAGUAAGACUGGUCACUCCAUUUUCUGAGCCCAAAACUGAUCGCCAUUCAAGAAAAUAGGAUGCUACUAAAGUAGUCUCACCAAAUAUGUCUGUUUUGAUUAGCACCAUAUGAACUGGAUCGCUUAUUGAUAACAUUGUUGUUGAAUCAGCCAUUCUAGUUCCAUCACCUGGCAACAUAAACCAAACAAAUGCACCACAUUACAUAUUCCAUUAUGGCCAACACAGAACAGUUCUAUUGCAAAGAAUACUAAUAAUAAACUUACAUAAAACCAAAUGAAAUAAUUCAGUAAUGCCUCAGAAAGUAUGCAAUAAAUUAUUAAAAAAGUACUAUCCCAAAUUUGUCACUAACUUUUGAGAAAACUAGAAUAAUUGUGAUGAGUCAUCUAGUUACUCAAUGCAUAUCAGGGUUUUUCAUCCCUAAGAGAUAAGUCUGUUCUUUAAAAGUACUUAACUAGGGACGCCUGGGUGGCUCAGUUAGUUGAGCAUCCAAUUCUUUUUUUUUUUUUAACUUUUUUUUUUCAACGUUUAUUUAUUUUUGGGACAGAGAGAGACAGAGCAUGAACAGGGGAGGGGCAGACAGAGAGGGAGACACAGAAUCGGAAACAGGCUCCAGGUUCUGAGCCAUCAGCCCAGAGCCUGACGCGGGGCUCGAACUCACGGACCGCGAGAUCGUGACCUGGCUGAAGUCGGACGCUUAACUGACUGCGCCACCCAGGCGCCCCGAGCAUCCAAUUCUUGAUAUCAGUUUGGGUCAUGAUCUCUCAGUUCAUGAAUUUGCAGCCCACAUCAAGCUCUGCAUUCACAGCACAGAGCCUGCUUGGGAUUCUGUCUCCCUUUCUCUCUGCCCCACCCCUGUGUGCACACACACACUCUCUCUCAAAAAUAAAUAAGAUAAACUUAAAAAAAAAAUAAACAAAAGCACUUAACUAAAAUCUACCAUAAUAAAAAGCCUUCAAAUAUGUCAACAUUAACCCCUAAACUACCUUUAUCCCUAAACCUCCAGAAAUAAUCACUGUAUUAUCUAUACAAAACUGAAAGAUUGGCACCUUGGAGCCAGCAUGUGAAGCCAUUAACAGCCUAAUUAAGGCAACAUUUUUCACGAGGGGAAAAAAAUAUUUUUCAUAGUGUAUUAACCAUCUUAGGUAAUCUAAAAUUCUAAAGGUAUAAUUCUGUAACUUUGCUAAAUUUGCUAACCAAAACAUAAAAUACAUUUACAGAAGCUAUGUAAAAUAAUUAUAGGAAUCAACUAUCACAACUUUAAAAUUAUGAGAAUUAUAGAUUCCCAUCUAAACUUUUUUUAUUUUUGAAAGUUAUGUAACAUCAUAAAUCUAGCCAUCUUUUAUAAAUGAGUAGAAUCAUGACUCAUCCUCCAAUAUAUCUUCAGCACUUGCCUAGUACUGUAUAAUGCACCGAAUAGGCAUUUAAGUGUUUAUUACAAAAGAAGCAACCAUUAAAGCAGUAAAAAAAUAAUCUUCAAGGAAAACUAAGUAGCAGAAAAUAAAGUAAGAAGGCGGGUGGAAGUAGAUUUUAUAAAAAAGAGGGGAGAAAAAAACACCUAGGGAGAUUUACUCAUUUUAAAUCUCUCAUUACAGCAAAAGUCUUAUGGUUGUUCUGCAAUAAAACCUAACAAAGAUUUACUCAAUUAAAUGACAAUUUAUUAUUGCUUCUUACCCAAGCUUUCUCUGUGUACUUCAAGUAAAAAGCCAUCAUGAAAAUCUGGUUCACAGGCACAUGGAACAGGUUUAGAACGAAAACGUUGGUUUCGAAAAUGUAAACAUAAAGUAAAGGUUGAACAAACUUGUCCCGGUAAAGGCUCAGGUUCUUGUAGAUGUUCCAAGAAAGCUUUUCCACCCAAAACCUGAAGGUAAAGAUACCUCCGUGUUGGAUCAAUAUUAGCUGUAAAGUGUAGCAAUAUAUAUGAGGAAACUGCCAAAUAACUUAAGGAAUGUGAUCAAGACAAUAGGAAAUAAUAACUUGACAGAAAUAAAAUCAAAGACUAAAUAAAGAAAAAGUAACACAUUUACUGUAUACCAGGACCAUUUGCAACCAGGGAAGAAUAGAUACAUAAUAAAAUAUUUUUAUCUGAGUUUAUAUGCUGGCUACUCUCUCCCAGCUAGAAAGGAGUCAGAGCCAAUGCUUAAGAAAUCUACUUUUUAGUUGCUUAUCCAACACUCCUUCACCUCCACAAACUCAGACAAAGUAAUUACCAUUAAAAGACUGUACAGUGUUUAUAAAAUACAUUAUUAAAACAUGAGCAACAGGUGAUCCUGUUUUUGCUUCCACUCUGCUACAUGUUAAAUCUUCUGACAUAAUACACACUUCAUGCAAAACAGAAUCUAAGUUUUUUUGGAUGAUUAAUCAUAAAAAUAUUAGUAUCUCAUUCCAGAAAGAAAAAAUGUUUUCUAUCAAAUACCAAACACUAUAGCACAUCAAUAUGUAGUACUAUCCAAAAUGAAAUCAAUGUUAAAAAGAAAUACACAUACUUUUUUUUAACAAGGUUGAUUGUCUAUCAGUGAAACAAACAGGUUGUUUUGGAGAGGAAGGGAGUUCUUGAUCAACACUGUCCUAGAAAGGCAGAAAAAAAUGAAAACAAAUUAGAAAAAAUAUAACUAAGCAAGGGAAUGGCAACAAUGGAACUAAGUAAAUAGUAUAAAGCCCCCCUCAAGGAAACUUUUCCCAGCCUAAUUAAAUAAUUACAUAAUUAAAAUAAUGAAAAGUCUGCAAAAAAGGUGGUGUUACUGGUCACUCCUAAAGUUUGAUAAGUAAUUAAACAGCCUUCAACCAAUGUCCACAGAAUGCUAAAAACAAAUUCUUAAUGUCUUAAACAAGGGUAAACUUUUUCUAAACCUAACAUUUGCCUUAUGAUUCUACCAUGAACUAAUUUUAACAAGGAAAUGACAUUCACAUAGCAGAAGCUGUUACUGGGUCAAUUUUUAAACAAAUGGGUUAAUAAACCUCAAAAACCAAAAAAAGAGGCUGUAUUAAAAAACUUAUUCCCUGAUGUAUUAUGCAAGUCCAUCCAAUUUUUACAUUAUAAUACCCAGAUAUUGAGGUCACAGUUUCUCAUUAUUGCCUCAUUUUCAAAAGACCUACUUACUAAUUUGUGCACUGAGAGACUAUCAUCCCAUUACUGACCUAUUUGUAUGAAGAGAUUUGAAGGUUCUUAUGCAAUCAUUUUUUUAAAGAAAUUGAUAAUUUGUUAAUCACAAUGGAGUUCCAAAAGAAUGUAUUAAAAAAAAAUAUGCCUAAUCAAAAACGUUAUAGAACAAUACUAGUGAAAAAGAACUAGGUUAUGGUGACCUAAUUUAACUAAAAUAUGUAUACUUAAAGUUACAGAACCAGAGAAUAAUAAUAGAAAAUUCUGUAGAGAGAGCAAUAUGGUAUGUAACUCCAAUCUCACUGAUACAUAAUCCUACUUGCUAUUUUUCAAGGGUAGAGUUAGCUUAUAUUUGAAGUAAAGAUAGUAUUAGGGAAAAUGAUCUUAUUCAUUUUUUUAACAUUUUAUUUCAUUUAUUUAAUGUUUUAAAGUUUAUUUAAAGAUUUUACUUUUUAAGAAAUCUCUAUACCCAAUGUAAGACUCCAAACCACAAGAGUUGCAUGCUCUCCCCCAAAUUGUCUCAUUUUAAAGUGGUUUUCCUAAAAAGAGGCCCCAAAUAUGGACCCUAUAAGUGGCAUUAAGCAUGAGAACAUACUCUCAAAAUCUUUCCCCUAAAAGAUUACUCACAGUAACAAAAUUAAGUUCUUUCAUCACAUCAUCAAUGAUUCCCCUACGUCUAAGGGCUUUGAUCAAAUCUUCAGUUGAUAACUGCUGUUGAUCAGGUGCCAAUUCUUCCCGUAUUGUCUCAGCAAGGAUUUCUCUUAUUCUGCCAUGGACAUCCAUCUACGUAGAAAACUCGAAUUACCAUUUACAUUACAAAGUCAUCAAACAUUGCCAAUCAGCUAAUUUCUUUCUAAAACACCCAAAGGAAAAAAAAAUGAUGGGAGAGUAGAUAGAUAAAAUUCAGGAAGUCUUCUCAAGAUAAUAGUAAAUGUAAAAUUGUUACCAGAAUUCAAUAAGAAUAAAGGUUAAGAUUUUUAAAAGGAAGAAAACCAAAAAAAAAAUUUAGGAUGAUUUUUUUUUUUUUUAGUACAAAUUCUAGGAAUAAUUUCAGCUGGUUAUCUGCUACCUUUGUUAUCAGUUCCCCACAAAUAACAUUCAACCAAAGCAGACCUUUUGAAAGAGAAUUGUUGUAUAAUCAAAAGAAUACAAACCUGGAGAACCUCAAAGUCUGCUUAUUAGAUGUGACCCUGAGUUAACUUAUUCACCCUUUAUGAAUCUGGAAAAAAAAUAAUGCCCUGCCAAGACCACAUUGCGAGGCUUAGCCAAAAAAUGCUGAACACUGAGCAGAAAGCCUGGCAAGUGUACAAUAAACCGUAGCUUUUAUUAUUUCAGAUUACUGCAUUCAGUUGAGCACCUCAACAAUGUUCUCCUUGAGCUUCGAAACAUCACAAACGCUUUUCGUUGCAAGUCCUUCAGUAACUUCCCUUUCAUGACUUCUUUAAGAAUUGCUGAUUUGGUUCAACUUGAAAGACACAAGUUUCACCCUUAAAGUAAUUCCAAUUCCAGACCUCUGAAUAUACACCUGCUCCAAACACAACUUGUACUCGAUCUGAUCUCCAGAAACAGCUGUGCUAUCACUCUCCCACGUUCCGUCACCUCAAACUCUCACUAGCACUUGCCGGCAUUGUUGUCUUUCAGCGAGGCUGGAGAGCGGCCCCGGCUGGACACCCGGAGACGGCCCAGCCGUGCUCUGCGCCCCAGAGCCUGCGCUCGUGUCCCCGGCAAACAGGCGCCGCCGUCGGUCGGGCCUCGGGAUGCCAGGUCGGGCGCUCAGGACCAAAGGCGNNNNNNNNNNNNNNNNNNNNNNNNNNNNNNNNNNNNNNNNNNNNNNNNNNNNNNNNNNNNNNNNNNNNNNNNNNNNNNNNNNNNNNNNNNNNNNNNNNNNNNNNNNNNNNNNNNNNNNNNNNNNNNNNNNNNNNNNNNNNNNNNNNNNNNNNNNNNNNNNNNNNNNNNNNNNNNNNNNNNNNNNNNNNNNNNNNNNNNNNNNNNNNNNNNNNNNNNNNNNNNNNNNNNNNNNNNNNNNNNNNNNNNNNNNNNNNNNNNNNNNNNNNNNNNNNNNNNNNNNNNNNNNNNNNNNNNNNNNNNNNNNNNNNNNNNNNNNNNNNNNNNNNNNNNNNNNNNNNNNNNNNNNNNNNNNNNNNNNNNNNNNNNNNNNNNNNNNNNNNNNNNNNNNNNNNNNNNNNNNNNNNNNNNNNNNNNNNNNNNNNNNNNNNNNNNNNNNNNNNNNNNNNNNNNNNNNNNNNNNNNNNNNNNNNNNNNNNNNNNNNNNNNNNNNNNNNNNNNNNNNNNNNNNNNNNNNNNNNNNNNNNNNGACCCCCAUCACUUCCCCACUCGCGGGCCCCUUCCGCACUGCGGACCGGCAGGUAGCUGGACGGGCCCUUCAGGACCCCACGCCGAGCGACUCCACGGCCCCGCCCCGCGGCCCCGUCGCUAGGGGCUCUGGGGACUCCAGCGCGCGGACGGAGCGAGGCGCUCGCGGUUUCGCGCUCGCGUCGCCUGCGUUUCCUCUAGGUCAGUGCUCGCCCAGUCCUUCCAUUUCGGUGCGACCAUGUUUGUUCCCUGCGGAGAUUCUGUCCCCGACCUCGCUGGCUUCACCUUCCUAAUGGUGAGUCCCCGCUUUCUCGAGCUCCGCCUGCUUGGCUUGGGGUGCUGUCUGUCGGGAGGCGCCUGGGGGGCCGCCACCGCGCCUCGAGGUCUUUCACUCGCCCUGGGACAGAAGACGGUGCUUGCUUAAAACGGGGAGGUUGUCGCUGGAGUCCGGGCUGCAGAAAGAUUCUUUGUUGGCGCUAUCACCAGACGUUUCUGAGACUAGAGUUUGUAGUCUUAACUGUAAAACGUAAUGUGUUUGAUUAUUAUUGGUAACGUUGUACGUAGGUUGUGCGGGCCAUCUUCUUUUCGAUGUAUCCUAGAAAAUCUUUUUUUCCAGCUAGUAGCAGAGCCUUUCUUAAGCUGGCAGGGCUUUGUCAUUAACCAGAUAACUACAGAAAAGGAAACCUUGCCAGUACCUAACACACGGUUUUAUUGCUCCUAAAAUUGCCCAUAUUCAGUCACUGUUUCAAUAAACAGUCUAUUAGAAUAAGAGUAGGUCCUUGUCCUCAAGGAGUGUCCAGUUUAGUUGGAAACACACGUAAAUCAAUAAGGGCAAUAAAUGCUAGGAUAGCACUUUGUAAAGGGCACAGAAGAACCCUAGGAUUUGUUGGGAGGGGGAGGGACACAGGGACCCGUUAAAAAAAAAAAAAAGCUUCAUAUGUGGAAUCUGGAAAAAAAAAACCCAACUUUAUAGAUAAAGAGAACAGGUUGGUGGUUGCUAGAGGCAGAUGAGAAUGAGAGCUGCUUGGAUGAAAUAGAUGAAGGUAGUCAAAAGGUACAACUCUACAGUUAUAAAUAAGUCCUGGGGAUGUAAUGUACAGCAUGGUGACUGUAAUUAAUAGUACUGUAGUGUAUAUUUGAAAUUUGCUAAGAGAGUAGAUCUUAAAAGUUCUCAUUACAAGGGGUGCCUGGGCAGCUCAGUUAACUCUGACUUCGGCUUAGGUCAUGAUCUCACAAUUUGUGAGUUCAAGCCCCACAUCUGGCUCUGUGCUGACAGCUCAGAGCCUGGAGCCUACUUUGGAUUCUGUGUGUGUCUCUCUCUGUCUUAAAAAUAAAUAAAACAUUAAAACAUUCUUUUAAAAAGUUCUCAUUACAAGAAAAAUUUGUAUCUGAUUGAUGUUAAGUAAACAUUGUGGUAAUCAUUUCACAAUAUGUAUAUACAUAUAUAUAUCAGCUGAUAUAUGUUUAUACCUGAAACUGAUACACUGUUAUAUGUCAGUUAUAUCUUAAUUUUUUAAAUGAUGAUAAUCACUUUUGGGCAAUUCUCACCUUAAUGCAUGCAAGAAAUAUCAGUGAAUGCUAAAAUUUGUGAUGAUGUACUGUUGAAGGAAAUUUUGUAGUAUUUCAUAGUAUCUCUCUGAAAAAUAUUUGUUAAUCACAAAAGAGAAAAGCAUCCUUCCAGGAGAUAUCUGGCAGAAGAAAAAAAAAGAUUCGUGGGGAAAGUAAUGUCUAAGAGAUUAUUGGCGGUAACCUUGACCGUUAUCAGUAAAGUGGCAAAGGGAGGGAAGCCAUAUUGGAGUGGGCUGAAUAAGUGGAAGAAGAGAUAGAGAAUAUAUGUAUGUAUUUGUUCAUUAAUUCAGAGAUAAAGCGCCUGAAUGCUUGUGCUUUAGUGGACAGCUGUUGGGAAUUUUGGUUAUGGAGAGACACCAAGAAGUGAGGUGGUAGCUAGGGGAGUAUGUAGGAUCAAGGGAGGGUAUUUUAGAAGGAAAGAUUAUAGCGUGUGUAUAUAUAUAUAUAUGUAUACAUACAUACAUACACAUACUGAUGAGAAGAAUACAAUAGUGAGGAAAGUGUAGAUGAUACAGGAGAGAAACGGUCUAAAUUAAGUAGCAGAAUCCUUGGGAAGGGUAAGGGAAUUACAGAAGAUAACCAAGAGAUUAGUAGAUGAGAGCAAUGAGAAGUGGGAGACCACUCUGAGGGACCCAGAAAAAUAAGAGGAAAUGGAGAUGGGGGAAGCAAUUGCUAGAAGAAUGCAAAGGAAGGGCUAUUUUAAAGAGAUAAGUAGAAUCAAUAAAAAUUAGCCAUGUAUUAUAAGUAGUUGGUAGGAGAAAAGGAAGAAGUUUUUUAGUUUAGGUAAUUGAGUAAUUGUUUCACUUUUGAAAUACAAAACAUGAGGACAAGUUUGGGCAACAGUUUAGUUUUGUACAUGUUGAAUGUGCAUUGCCUAUGAGAGAAUCAUGGGGAGAUAUCCAUUAGUCUCUGGAGUUGAGAUAAAUGUUCUGGGCGAUAGGUAGAGGUUUGGCAGUUGGACUGUUUGAAGUCAUGGGGGUAAAUAUGUGUGUGUGUUCAACGUAAAAAGAAGCUGACUCUAACCUUUAUGCACUAACAAAGCAAAGGGAAAGAUGACCCAAGAAGCCUUUAUACUUGCUUUCCCACUGCAUAAAGUGUUUUUUUCCCUGGUCUUCGUAUGGCUGUCUUCCUUAAGUCUCCCAGGUCUAUAGUUGACUGGUCACCUAAAGUCUUUCCUUGAUCACCCUGUUUAAAAUUGCAUCCAAACACAUAUACACUCUCACUUAAUUUUUCUCCAUAGCACUUACCUCUGUAUAUAGGCAUAUCUCAAAGAUAUUGUGGGUUUGGUUUCAGAUCACAGCAAUAAAGUGAAUCUCACAAUAAAGCCAGUCAGAUGAAUUUUUUGGUUUCCCAGUGGAUGUGAAAAUUAUGUUUAUACUAUAAUGUAUUAAGUUUGCAUUAUGUCUAAAAAGACAAUGUACAUACCUUAAUUUUAAAAUAUGUUAUUGCUAAACAAUGCUGGCCAUCAUCUGAGCUUUUGGUGAGUCAUAAUCACCAUAGAUCAAAUGAUAACAAAUAUAAUAAUAAUGAAAAAGUUUGAAAUAUUGAGAGAAUUACCAAAAUGUGACAAACACAAAGUGAACAAAUGCUGUUGGAAAAAUGGUGCCAAAAGACCUGCUUGAGCCUGGGUUGCCACAGACAUUCAAGUGCCAUAAAAUAAAGUACGCCUGUAUUAUUUCACUAUUUUAUUAUAUUUAACUACUCCCUUACUAGAAUGAGAGUUCCACGAGGCAGGAAUUUUUAUCCGUUUGUCUUCCUGCAUUCCUAGUGCUUAGAGCAAUGAUUGGCACAUAGUCGGUUUUCAAUAAGGUGUUAAACCAAUAGUCUCCAAAGUAGAGGAAGCCCCUGCUGACACCUUGUUGAAGCUAAUGCAAAGAGUCCGUAUUUAGUUCUGAUGCACCUGAGCAUAACCAAUCAGAUGUAGUCCUGUGAUUAUUGUCUUCUGUCUAAGCUUUUAAAAGUGCUGCUAAUUUUGAUUACUUAAUGAACAUUUUUUAUUUCAGCCAGCAGUAUCUGUUGGAAAUGUUGGCCAGCUUGCAAUAGAUUUGAUUAUUUCUACACUGAAUAUGUGUAAGAUUGGUUACUUCUAUACUGAUUGUCUUGUGCCAAUGGUUGGAAACAAUCCAUAUGCAACUGCAGAAGAAAAUUCAACAGAACUCAGUAUAAAUGCUGAAGGUAUGUAAGGUUUUGCAUGUUUUAUUCUCUUACAAGGAAGAGUUGUUUUAAAUCAGAAAUAGAUUCAAUGGAUAUUGUUUUAUAGCAUAUAUUUAUUUAGUGCCAGUUUUGUGCAGUAUUUAUGACCUGGUCAUAUUGUCCUAUUGUACAUCAUGGUUUUAGUUCUUAGUCUUUUCUAAAUGGCAGCUCCUAAGAUGACUGUACUUAUAUUUUUUACUAGAAUUUGAGAUUUCCUUUUUUUUUAACAUAAAGGUUUUUUGUCCUUCUUUUAUCCUCAGUUUUAAUUUCUGAUCUUUCUGGCAAGUAUAAGCACCACUAAUACUAGAGAAAGGGGUAAAGAGAAUUCCACCGAGCUCAGUCCUGUAUGUUUAACAUGUGCUACCUUACGUAGGCCUGAUAGUUAUCCUCUCAUGUUAUUAUAGAAUCCAUAAUAAUAUAAUAUUGAUAAGGCUCAGAGAAUUGAGUUGCCUAAUACUACUAGUAGACAUAGGCUUUUACCAUGCCAUAAAUCUCCAUAAUUCCUCAUUGCACUGUCAUGUUUGUUUUAAUUGGGGAACACAGUUGACAUUGCCGUGACCACUGUGUUUAUAGUACAGAACUGCUCUGAGUGAGUGGGGGAAAGCUAUUGAUCAUGAAGCACAGGAGCACCCACUUGCUUCGUUUGAUGACAAGGUGCUCUGUUGGCUUCUCAGUGUUCUGUUUACCAUAAGACUGAAUUCAGCUAUUGCCUUAAAGGAUAAAGUACUAGAAAUAGUAGAACUAGAAUUUAUAUACUUCCACUAAUGAUAACAACUAUCAUUUUAUAUGAGCUGAGCACUGUGUGCAUUAAUACUCUUUACAUGUAUUAAUCCAUUUAAUCCUCACAACUACUCUAUAAGUAGUCUUAUAGAUGAGGAAACCAUUGUACAAAGAAGUUAAGGUCACAUGACUAAUAAUUGGUGUACCUGAGUUUCUAAUCAAGGCUCUGGCCCCUGAGACCUGUUUCUUAAGCACCACACCACCCUGAUGGACCUUCACACUAGUGGAAGACCCACUGGCUUUUCUCUGACACAAACUCACAACAAGUCAAUUGGCUAUGUCCUUUAAUCUACUUUAUCUAUUUUUAAGAUGAGGUAUUUUGAAAUAAAUUAUAGAUAUCAUGACAUUCCACCUCUAAAUACGUAUUUGUCUUUUUAAAGAACGUUUUCUUUAUAGCUAAAAUACUAUCACAUUUAACAAAAUUAGUAAUUUCUUAAUAUCUUAACUAUACCCUAUCCAUAUUCAGACUGUUCCAGUUUACCCCAAAAUGUCCUUCAAAGUUAGUUUGUCUAAACCAAGACCCACUAGGGGCACCUGGGUGGCUCUGUUGGUUAAGCACAGAGCCUGGAGCCUGUUUUGAAUUCUGUGUCUCCCUACUGCCCCCCGCUCACACACUGUCUCUCUUUCUCUCUUUCAAAAAUAAAUAAACAUUAAAAAAUAAUAAUAAAAAAAUAAACUAAGACCCACCAUAGUACUUCUGAUUGUUAUGCCUCGGAAACUUUUUACUGUAGAGCAGUCUCUUUUUUUUUUUAAUCCCUUCAUGAAACUAAUUUAUUGAGGAAACAACUAGAUCCAUUGUCCUAUUGAAUGUCCUAUCUUCUGCAUAUGUCUUAUAACUUCCUUGUAGUGUCAUUUAUCUUGGUCCCCUAGUGUCUGUAUUUUCUGUAACUUCUUAGAUCUAAAGCCUUGAUUAGAUAAAAGCUACAUAUUUUAUACCAGAAAACAUGAAAGGUGAUGUUGCUUUUGUAUUGUAUCACCUCAGAAGAGAAAAGUAAUGGGAAGCAGGAUCUUAAAAAAGAUUUUCCUGAUACACUGAUGAUGAAUAUGAGUGCUAAUAUUGUAGGAGGUGGUAUGUCUUACAUUUUGCUCACUCCCUACAGAUGUAUCCUCUUCCCAUUAAGUCUGUUGAAUUGCACUAAAUGUGCACAUCAGAGAUAGAUUACAGGCCUAAGUGGCUCAUGUUUUAGUCCCUUUCCCCUAAAUUUGUGCUCUUUUCCCUAAUUCCUAAAUUUCUGCUCUUACCUCCUUUGUCCUGAAAAUACCUGGAGGUCAUUAGGCUUGCUGCUUCAGCAUAGCCCCUAGUCACUACCCCAGUCCAACACUCCCCAAAAGAGCUAUAGCUGGAGAGACAUGAUCUGCCAAAGGAUUUACUGGAGUCUGGGUUAUUUGUAAAUUAUUUUACAGUAACUAAAAUUUUACUCUUUAGCACAGUGGCCUAAUCAUGCCUCUAAGAAACUCCAUAUUUUGUCCUUGGUUCUCAUUCUCAGAGGUGAGGUUGGGCAGGGACAUGUUAAGCGUCAGUACAGUAGGCCCCCUUGUAGAAUGUGAGUGAAGGUUGUGGAUCCUUUUCCUUGAAGAAGAGCACACACCUUGACUCAGAAAAUUUUACAUAUUAUCUUGCAUGUUAUCUUUCAAAAACUUCUAAAGAACACAAAUGUACCUAUUCCAGGGAUUUUAUUAUAUGGCUAACAUUCUCUUGCAUUUUAUUCCUUCUCUAAAUCCCAAUGAGUGUUGCUCUUCUCCAGAGAGAAGAGGGGAGCAUAACUUUUUUUUUUUUAAAGAGAGAGAGAGAGAGAGAGCAGGGGUGCCUGGGUGGCUCAGUCGGUUAAGCGUCUGACUUAGGCUCAGGUCGUGGUCUUACGGUCCAUGAGUUUGAGCCCGGUGUCAGGCUCUCCUGAUAGCUGAGAGCCUGGAGCCUGCUUCAGAUUCUUUGUCUCCCUUUCUCUUUGCCUUUCCCCUGUUCUCACUCUGUCUCUCUCUCUCUUUCUUUUUCUCAAAAAUAAAUAAACAUUUAAAAAAAAAAAAAAAAAGCAUGUGUGAGGGAUAGGGGCAGAGGGAGAGAGAGAAUCCUAAGCAGGCUCCCACUCAGCACAGAGCCUGACAUGGGGUUCGAUCUUACAACCCUGGGAUCAUGACCAGAGCCAAAAUCAAGAGUUGGAUACUCAACCAACUAAGCCACCCAAGUGCCCCUUUUUGUUUUUUGUUAGUUUUUAGCUAAGAACAUUCUUUUUUAUGUUUUAUUUAUUUUUUUGAGAGAUUGUGCAGGUGGGGGGGGGGGGCGGGCAGAGAGAGAGAGAAGGAUAGAGGAUCCGAAGCAGGCUCUGCGCUGACAGGCUGACAGCAGAGAGCCCAAUGUGGGGCUCGAACUCACAAACUGUGAGAUCAUGACCUGAGCCAAAGUAAGACACUCAACCGACUGAGCCACCCAGGCACCCCUUAAAUAAAAACAUUCUUAAGAAUGAUUUCAUGUAUCAUAACACCAGAAGUUUCUGGGGAAUUCUUCCCUGAUUCUACAAUCACAGUCAGAAGAAAUAUAAUUUUAUAUUUUCUUAACAGUUAACCUUUCAGAAAUGAAUCUGUUUAUUGAAUAAAGCCCACAGGUGCAUUUUAAGGUACUUCUAAAAUGUUCUAUUUUAACUGAAUGAUAUAGUUCAUAUGUUUUAUAUUUAAUUAUUGAAAAUAUUAGGUAUAAAAGUUCUUACAAUUCAAUAUUAGUUUUUAUGUUAGUAAUUUCACUUGUAUAACUCCAUCAUUUUAACUCUCAUGAUUUCAUUUUCUUUUUGUCUUUGUAGUAUAUUCAUUGCCUUCAAAGAAACUAGUGGCUCUUCAGUUAAGAUCCAUUUUUAUUAAGGUUAGUAUAUUUGUCUUUUUAAGUUGAUUGAAGUGAAAUGUAAUGAGAAAAUACUAAGUAUUAUUAAGAAUUAAGAUUCAAAACUCAGUUCUGCUCUUUUUACUGUAUGUACGGUUAAGAAAAGUCUGAUUCUAUAGAGAACCAAUCUUAGAAUAGGUGUUACCAUCAUUUACUGAUUGAUUAUAUUGAAAGGAAAUGAGGCAUACUGUUUGGAUCUUAUAUAUUCCCAAUUUAGGUAACAUGGGUGAAAACAUUUAAACAAAUGAAUAUUUUGGAUUUAGUCCAUUUGUAUUACAUUUCAACCAGUGACAUCUACAUAUAAAUUAUGUACAUGUCAAAAUAAAUUCUGAAUCUAACUUCUUUCCUCUUCCACCACUACCACUCUUGUCCAAAUCACUGCCUUCUCUCCUACCCCUAAUUCUAUUCUUGCUCUGCCCACUUCCAUAAAUACCUAAUUGUCUGCAGAUAGCACCACCAGUUAUCCUUUAAACCUAAAUCAAAUCCAUCACUUCUCUUUUCAGACCCUCUGGUGGUUUCUUGUUUUCAUCCCAGUGAACUCCCAGCCCUUACUGUGACUUAUUAGGCUCUACCUCUGUGCUGGUAUGGUAGCCACUAUCCACAUGUAGCUAUUUAAAUUUUGAUUUAUAAACUAAAAUAAAAUUAAAAAUUCAGUUCCUGCUUCACACUAGACACAUUUGAAGUUCUCCAUAGCCAUGUGUGGCAAGCAGCUGCCAUAAAGAGCACUUCCAUUAUCACAGAGAGUUCUCUUGGACAACUGCUUUACUUAAUCGAACUUAGAGCCAUUCCUGUUUGCUCAUUAAUAGUUUCCCUCUUUCAUUAACCCUGCUUUAGCCACACUGGUCUCCCUGUGUUGUUCAGACAGAUUAAGCUCACUCCCAUCUCAGAGUCUUUACAUUAUUUUCUCUGCCUGGAAUACUUUUCUUCUAGAUACCUAAAUGGUUUACUUCCUUCAGUCCUUGCUUAAAUGCUGCCUCAUCAGAAAGGCCUCCCCUGACUACCCUAUUGUCUUAUCCUGGGGUGGUUUUCUUCACAAUUCAUCACUACUUAGAGUAUCAUAUAUUUGUUUAUUAUCUACCUCUAAUAUAAAGUAAGUAUUCUGAGAGAAGUGACAGUGUAUCACUCACUUUCAUAUCCCCAGCUUCUAGAAAAGUAUGUAGCAUGUAGAGGAGCUCUUAGUAAAUGUUGGUUGAGUCGAUUAAGGUACCAUCUGUUAAGAAGGUCAGAAAAUUAUCAGCUUUCUGUUGCCUCUCCCGCAUACUCCAUCUUAGUUAUAUUAUUAUGUAAAUGGAAUCUCAUGGCAUGUACUUUAUGUCUAGCUUCCUUUACUCAACAUUCUGUUAGUGAGGUCCAUCCAUGUAGUUCGAAGGAGAGGUCGUUUGUUCAUUCUCACCUCUAUGUGGGAUUCUGUUGUAUAAAUAAGCCAUAAUUUAUCCAAUGUACUGUUAAUGGAAUGUUAGGUUUUUUUCUAGUUUGAGACAACUGUGAAUAGUGCUAUGAUUAUUUUAAUAUUCAUAUUAGAUCCACUCUUUACUUUCUUUAGUUAACAAUACCAUACCCAAAGUUUUGCAGUGAGAGUUGCUAAUAUUUUUCCAUUAUGCUAUGUGGCUUUUUCUGUUCUCUUCCUAAUACCAGUGUAAGUUCAAGAAUUAAGAAAGACAAACAUGUCUGAAUGAAAUUUUUGGUAGAUGGGAAUAGUGAUUUCAAAAUAGCUAACAUUUAUUGAGCAUUGAUUUCUUCACACCAAUAUGGCUGUGAGUACUUUAUAUAUAUAUUACUCUACACAAGCAUCUCAACAGUGUGACAAAGCAGGUAUUAACAUUAUCCUCAUUUGUAAAAUGAGAUUUCAGAAAACUGAAACACAGUUUUUUAAUUUAAUCAGGCUGUACCAUCUCCCUAGUUGAAGAACUAGCUAUUUCUUAUCUGCAUUUUAAAUUUUAUUGAAUAAUUAUUUAAUAGCGGUCUGUGAGAAGAAUUUCCAUAAAGUAAUUUUCCCCCCAAAAUUGUAUAAUCCACUUCCCAGAUUAACCAACUGUUAAUAUCUUGCCAUACCUGCUUGAUUCUCUCUCUCUGCAUGUGCAUGCAGUUUCCUUCUGCCAAAUAAUUCAAAAGUAGGCUGGUGAUGUUAUGAUAUUUUACCCAUAAAUAGUUCAGCAUGUAUCUCUCCUUCAUGACAUUCUCCUUCACAACCACAGCAGCAUUAUCACACCUAAGAAAAUCAGCUCUUAAUGAAUUAUUCAGUAGUAUCAUAAGACAUAUUCAAAUUUUCCCAAUUGUCCCCAAAAUAUUCUUCAGUUUUGGAACCUUCAAUCAAGGUUCACAUGUUACAUUUGGCUGUAACGUCUUUUUAGUUGUUAGCCUUUGACGUAGAAGUGGCCUCCUUUUUCUGUUCUUCAUAGUAUUCACUCUUCGAGGAUUCAUGCCAGAUGUUCAGCAUCCUAGAUUCACCUAAUCAUUUCCUGAUCAGAUUCAGGUCAGAAAUUUCUAGCAAGAAGAUCUCAUAGAUGACCAUGUGAUAGUUUUUAUAGAUGACCAUGUGAUAGUUUUUAAGUAACAAUAGAUUAAGUAGAGAACUGGGAAAUUUUCCUUUGUCCAUCAGCAUAGAAUUUUUUUGAAACUAGAUUUCUUGUGAUUUAUUUCUUAAUUGUAAAGCUACAAUAAACAAUUCAUUGCUCUUCGUCUCUCACCUUCAGUUUAAGGACAGGAAAGUAGAAGUAAAAAUAAUUAUAAUUUUAAUACAUAAAUUAUCAUCACAUAAAGCUAAUAAAAUAUUUUAUAUAAUACUCUUAUUAUAUGCUAAGAUCUAACUUUGAGACUUUCUUUUUAUUCUUUCAAUGGUAUACGAAGUAUAAAUCAAAGCCAUUCUGUGAAAAACUGCUUUCCUGGGUGAAAAGUAGUAACUGUGCCAAAGUUAUUGUUCUUUCAAGCAGUCAUUCAUAUCACCGUAAUGACCUACAGCUUCGCAGGUAUGCUUUUGCCUUUGAAAAGUUUUGUUUUAAUUUAUGCAAUAUUAUGAUGGUGUCUCUAUUAAAAAGCUAAAAUAAGUUUUAAAAGUUAUGUAUAUUUUUACCUCCCCUCUCUGGAAUUUAGAAAGAUGAUAAAGUCAGGAGAUAGGAGGGAGUAUGGUUAGUAGUGUUAUGGUUGAGGCAGAAGGAAGGCUUUGGUGUAAAGAUAUAGAUUGUUCUGGAACUGUGCUUCGGUUGUUUGGUAUGGUGUGUGGUGACAUUACAGAGCUGAGCUGAUAAAGAGAAAGAGGAGAGAUUCAUUGGAUGAUUUUUGGAAAAUUGAAUUCGUAUUUCUAUUUAUUCAGUCAUUGCAGAAAUCCAGUUGCCUCUAAGUAUAAAUCAGGUAUGUCACACUGAAUUCCUAAAUAUAAGGCAAAGUAUCCAAGAGAUAGAAAUAUAAACUAUUUCAUUAUCAUUUCCGCACCUAUAAAAUCAUGAUGAAAAGCAUUAGCCAAGACUAACCUUUCAAAACUGGAGCUAAUUUCUAGGAAUCUCACAAUAAACAUACAAUUCUAGGAAUCUCACAAAAGUCCUCUUGGCCAGAAGGGAGCAUAGCUUGUGGGAAAUUGAUUAUCUUCAUGCUGACCUUGCCUUAGUUUAAGUUGGUCUGGGUCCUUAUGCUCUCUCCUAAGUGUGUAAAUAGCAAGCCAGAGCAAUAUUUUUAUAUGCUAUUCUUCCGUAGACUGCUGAAACUUGUGCUUUGCUUUUGCAACAAAAUACACAUGGAACAAAUAGUAUUUGCUAAAAGAACUGAUACUUGCCUUAAUGUUCAAAUUUAUUAUGUUUUUAAAAACUGAAUUAUAUGAUUGCUUCUAGUACUCCCUUCAGAUACCUGCUUACACCUUUCUUGCAAAAAACUGUUCAAAAUAAAAUAAAGAGCCUGAACUGGGAAGAAAUGGAAAAAAGCCCAUGCAUUCCUGAAAUAGAUGAUUCUGAGUUUUGUAUCCGUAUUCCUGGAGGAGGUAUCACAAAAAUACUCUAUGAUGAAGGGUGAGUUUGUCUGUUUGUUCAUUUGUUCCCCCACCUUAUUUAAAAAUGAAAGUAGGAAGGGCUGGCUCAGGCCGUAGAAUGUGUGACUCUUUGAUCUCUGGGGUCACCAGUUCAAGGCUCACAUUGGGUGUGGAGCCUACUUAAAAAUAAUGAAAGUAAGAUAAGUGGGAGAGUGUGUUGGAUUACUUAUCAGAACUUUGAGAAUAUGUUUAUAUAUUUACACAUCACAUAAUUUAAGUGUGGUAAAAUAUACGUAACAUUAAAUUUAACCAUUUUUAAGUGUACAAUUAAGUGGCAUUAAUGCAUUUACGGUGUUGUAUAUCCAUCACCAUCUGUCCACUUUCAGAACUUUGUCAUCGUUCUAAACAGAGAAUCUGUACUCAUUAAAUAAUAACUCCUACUUAUUUCUGCAAAGCCCAUACUAAUAUCCUCACUUUCAUUUCUGAUUUUAGUAAUUUGAGUUUUCUUUUAUUCUUAGUAAAUUUUGUUGAUCUUUUCAAAUAACUACUUUUGGUUUUAUUGAUUUUCUCUAUUGUUUUUCUGUUUUCUAUUUAUCUCCACUCUAAUCUUCAUUAUUCCCUUUCUUCUGGUAACUCCAGGUUUAGUUUCCCUUUCUUAUUAUAGUUCCUAAGAUGUAAACUUAGGUCAUCAAUCUGAGAAAUUUCUUCUUUUUAAAUACAUGCAUUUACAGCUGAAACUUUUCCUCAUACUCUACUUUAGCUGCAACUCUUAAAUUCAGCAUGUUGUUUUCAUUUUCUUUCUCCUGUAUUUUUCUGAUUUCCCAUGUGAUUUCUUCUUUGACCUAUGUCUUCCUUGACUGUAUUAAUUUCCAUAUAUUUGUGAAUUUUCUGGUUUUCCUUCUGUUGUUGAGUCCUAGUGUCAUUCUACUAUGAUUGAAAAAGACACUUUGUAUGAUUUUCAUCUUUUUAAUUUAUCAAGUCUUAUUUUGUGCCCUACCAAAGGUCUGUCCUGGAGAAUGUUUCAUGUGCACCCAAGAAAAAUGUGUAUUCUGCUUGUGUUGAGUGGGAUGUUCUGUAUACAUCUGUUAGGUUUAAUGGGUGUAUGGUGUUGUGUAAGUCCCUCUAUUUCAUUAUGAAUCAGUCCGUUUGUUCCAUUAUUGAAUGUGGAGUGUUGAAGUCUCCCAACUGUUAUUGUAGCCCUGUGUCUAAUUCUCCCUUCAAUUCUAUGUCUGCUUAUAUAUUUUGGGGCUCUUGUUUUGUGAAUAUAUCUUUGUAUUUAUCACAUUUUCUUGGUGAAUUGGCCCUUUUAUUCAAUAUAUAAUGGCUUUCUCCAUCUCUUACAACAGUUUUUGAUAUUUUGUCUGAUAUUUUUACAGCCACCCUGCUCUCUUUUGGUUACUAUUUGUGUGGAAUAUCUUUUUCCAUCUUUUCAUUUUCAAACUAUGUGUGUCCUUAUAUUCAAAGUGAGUCUCUUAUAGACGGUAAAUAGAUCAUUUUUUUAAUCCAUUCUGCUAGUCUGUGUCGUUUGAUUAGAAAGUUUAAUCCGUUUGCAUUAAAAGUAAUUACUAAUGAAGGACUUGUUAUUCUGCUGUUUUCUGUAUGUCUUAUACCUUUUUUGUUCUUCAUUUACUGCUUUACUGCCACCUUUUUUAUAGGGACAUCUUUUGAUUCUCUUCACAUUUCCUUUUGUGUAUAUUCUAAAGAUACUUGCUUUAUGGUUUCCAUGGUGAGUGCAUGUAACAUUCUUAAGUUAUAACAGUCUGAGUUGAUACUAACUUCAGUUGCAUACAAAAACUACUACUGGUCACACUAUCUCCCCCCAACCCAUUAUGAUAUUGUCACAAAUUACAUCUUUAUGUAUUAUAUGCCCAAUAACAGAUUUAUAGUUAUUUUUGUGCAUUUUUCUUUUAAAUUCUCUGCAGUUGCUCUUGAUUGAUCUUUGAGAAUCACUAACAGUUAGCAGGCAAGUGAAAGUAAAGGAGGAAACUAGAAAGAGAUCUUUUUUUCUUUAAGCCCCUUUUUGUAAAUUGACUUUUAUGACUUAUAUGAUGGCCCAAUCUGCCAUCAGAUUUGUAGACACUUACACUAUCCCCAUUUUUGCCUGCCUUAUCCCUUAGCUUCCUGUUUCAUAUGACCCGAGGCUAAAUUUAGGGCUAACCAGUAGGCCUUGCUGUAUGCUUCAACUCCCUCUGACUUUUCCUCCUUGCUAGGAGUUGAUUUGCCUGGUGGGUUCAUGGAAAACAGAGCCAAUGGUGUUUAGAAGGUGGCUUCUACUGCUAGUCUACUCUCUGCUCUCCCAUGAGGAGACAUGAAUAAGGAGCACCACUUGUGCUGUCAGUGGUGGCUCUAGAGAAGUGGGCAGAGCUAACCUUAGAAAAAAAUUGUGUCCCCGUUACCAUUGCUGAAAGUCCACCAAAAAUCUGCCUCCUUACUUAACAUAAUAAAUUUCAAGAGUAUAAUCCUAGCCUUGCAAAGUAGAAUGACUGGUUUGCUUGCUCUGAAAUCUGCAUUGUGAUUUCUAUAUGACCUGAAGAAGUCAUAAUAGUAACAUAAGUAGUAGUCAUGGUGUUAGCAAAUUAUGUGCCUGGUACUUUCUGUGCACCUUACAUAUAUUAAAUUAUUUAAUUCUCAUACUGACCUUAUAGAUAUGUGCUAUUAACUACAUGUUAUAAACAAAAAAAUUGAAAGGCUGCAAGGUUAAAUAACUGCUAAAAGCCAUAUGAGUAACAUGUGGCAGAGCCAAGAUUCAAACGUAGGCAUCCGGCCCCAAAUUCUGCACUUUUAACCACUUCACUCUAGAGCUAGCACUCAUGGUCCAGGAUCAUAGUGAGCUUUAUUCUUUGUCUAAAAGUUGAACCUAUUCCUUGUUAUUUGUAAUUAUUUAUGCCCCUGCUUCUUUCUGAAAUAUCUAAGACUUCUGUCAGAAAGGAUACAGGCAUUUCAGCUUGUUUUCCUAAUACACCUUGUUUUGUCCAUCUCUGGCCAUACUUGUGUACCAUUCCAGCUUUCUGUUUUUCCCUUAAAACCUGCUCAUUUCUUUUCACUUUUCUUUUUUUCCAGUCUGUCACCCAUUCGUGUUUUUACUUCUUUUCCUGUCUAGCUUAUUGCUCAUCAUAUAAAAUAUCACUUCAGAAUAUAAAAAUAUUCUUUUACCACAGCCUGGAAGCCAUGGCUACGUAAUCAUUCUCUGGCCUGCCCUGCAAACCACCAGCUUUCAGUCCUUCUUUUGCUUCAUUCAGGCCACAUCAUUUGUAGCCUAGACUGCUGUUAGUCUGAUUGGGGUGUCAUAGCAAAAUAAAAUCAGCAGGGUGGCUUAAACCACAAAAAUUAAUUUGCUCACAGUUCUAGAGGCUAGAAGUCUGAGAUUGGGGAGCCAGCAUGGUUGAGUUCUGGUGAAGGCCCUCUUCCUAGCUUGCAAAUGGCUGCCUUCUGGCCGUAUCUUCAGAUAGCAGAGACCUCUGAUUCCUUCUCUCCUUACAGAGCCACAGUGCUGUCAGAUUAGGGCCCUACCCUUAUGACUUGGUUUACUCUCAAUUACCUGUGCAGGUCCCAUCUCCAGAUGGAAUUGCAUUGGGGGUUAGGGCUUCAGCAUAUGAGUUUUGGAGGGGUGUGAGUUUAGUCUGUAGCUGCUGCCAUCAAGAUCUCUUGAUUGAUUCCCCCGCCUCCUUCAUUAUGACUCCGUUUAAUCCAUCUUCAGUAUUGCUAAAAUCAACCUUCUGAAAUUCAGAACUGGGGCACCUGGGUGGUUCAGUCAGUUAAGUCUCCAGCUUUGGCUCGGGUGAUGAUAACACAGUUCGUGACUUCGAGCCCUGCGUCAGGCUCUGUGCUGACAGCUCAGAGCCUGGAGACUGCUUCAGAUUUUGUGUCUCCCUCUUUCUCUGACCCCCCCCCCCCCCCCGGGCUCACACUCUGUCUCUCUCUCAAAAAUAAACAUUAAAAAAAAAUUGAAAAAUAAAAUUAAAUUCAGAACUGAUCACAACAUUCCCAGAGUAAAAUCCAUCAGUAGUGGGGCGCCUGGGUGGUUUAGUCGGUUAAGCAUCUGACUUCAGCUCAGGUCAUAAUCUCACAGUUUGUGAGUUCGGGCCUCGUGUUGGGCUCUGUGCUGACAGUUCGGAGCCUGGAGCCUGCUUCAGAUUCUCUGUCUCCCUCUCUCUGACCCUCCCCCAUUCAUGCUCUUUCUCUGUCUCAAAAAUAAACAUCAAAAGAAAAAAUUUUUUUUAAAUCCAUCAGCAGUUUUACUUGCUUUAUGCAGAAUCUGGUUCAUAUUUCUUAAUGUGUCAUAUAAGGCCCUGCAGGAUCUCCUUGCCUGGCUCAUUCCUUGGUGCCCUGGACUCCAGCUAAACUACUAGCAGUCAUGGUUUCCUAAAAGCUGUCUCAUUCUUCCUUGCCUUGUCCCAUGUACUUUCUCCUAUUGUCUCCCUUGCAAAAACCAACCCAGUUUCUAAGAGUCACCUCGUACAGCACUCCUCUGUGUCCUUACAUGCUUCUCCCUCUGCACAAGGAAGUUACUACUCUCUUUGUAUUCCCACAGCUCUCUGCACCUUCACCCUGACUGCUUAGUUCUUUACAAAUUAGCCUCCUCCUUUUGCUCCACUCAGUGUUAGAGUAAUGAUCUCAGACUUGCCAUCUUGCCAUAAGCAACUGGAAAUUGGCCAAAAUUAAUGAAACAACUGUUUUUCAGACUUGGACACCAGGCAGCACAUAGUUGUGAUCCCUGAGAGAAGGCAAAUAAAGUCCUACAAUUGCCCCCAACUUUCUGCUUGGAGAUAUUUUCUGGACUACAACACAGGGAGGGGGAGGGAACCUAAGCAGACCAGUCUUGCUGAGUUGAGGAGACAGAUAUCAGCAUUGGGGAAUGCUAGGACACUCGGAAAGUACAAGGCAGAGAACCAUAGAAGGACUAUUCAGAAGAGCUGUAGGGGUCUCUCUGAGUCUUUGAAGUCUAAGCCACACAUGUGUAGGGUAAAAUUCUGUGAGACCAAAGAAUAACUUCUGGGUAGUUGUAAACUUGCCCACAGAGUUAGGUAGCAAAAUAUUAUAAAAGUUAGACAUAGUCAUCAUAGAAUAUUUGGAAAAUAUAGAAUAGUCCAAAGAAACAUUAUUUAUAAUACUCAGUUCUGGGGUGCCUGGGUGGCUCAGUUGGUUAAGUGUCCAACUCUUGAUUUCAGGCUCAGGUCAUAAUCUCACAGUUGUGAUGAGAUUGAACCCUGCAUCAGGCUUCGUGCUGGGCAUGGAGCCUGCUUAAGAUUCUCUUUCUCUCUUUCUCUCUCUCUCUCUUUCUCCUCACCGCCCCCCUCGCCCCUCUCCCCUUGCAUGCGCACAUGCUCUUUCUCUCCCUGUUUCUCCCCACCCCCCCCAUAUAUAUGUAUAUAUAUAUAUACACGUAUAUAUACGUAUAUAUAUGUGUGUGUAUAUAUAACGUAUCAGAAGUAACUACCAUUACUAAUUUUUCAUUUGUUCUCUUCCCAACUCCUUUAAAAAUAUAUCUGAAUUAAAUGCACAUAUCUGCAAGAUAUACCAUGUCUACCUUUAUAACUUUAGAGUUCAUCCUGUUUAAAAAUGUUUCUCACAAAAUCAAUUUUCUUUUAAUUUUCUGACACACAUCUUUUAUUCUCUUAUAAUCAAACCCUUGUUCAAUGUUCAGUGUCAUUAUACAUUCACUGCAAUAAAGAAUUUUUGAAAUUGAAAAAAAACUCAUCAUAGAGCUUAUAUAAUUUUGAAUCCUUUUUUUCUUCCUCAGUGCACAUCAUGAAUAUUUGCUAAAUUUUUUGUAACAUAUAUAUUUUGCCUUCCCAUUAUGAGAACAAAUAUAUAUUCUGAUCUCUGGAAAAAAUAAUGUUAGUUACUCUAAUAAUAAGGGGUGGCAGUGGUGUGGCUGAUCUGAAAUCCCAUAUAUUUAAUGGGAAUAGAAGUGCAUUUAUAAUUUAAUAAUGGAUGUGUCUAGGUUUUUAAUGUCACAAAGUAAUAAAAUUAGUCAUUCUCCACUUUUCAUUUUUAGAGAGGUCCAGAGGAUGGUAUUAAAACUAUUAUGCUACUCUUUGUGUUACAAACUAGUAGUGGAGGCACUGUAAAUUCAAGACCAUACUUCAUUUUUUAAGGUCGAGCUUUGAAAAUGAAGGCACAGCCAGGGAGGCUAGCUAGCCUCCUCUAGGCAGGAUCCAUUUCUAAGGAAUGUGUAGGAUAUGGAAUCUUCUGAGUCAUCACAGCUCACAGUGCUUCCAUACAAAGCUUGAGAGCCUCUGUGAUAUUUGAGAACUACAUAUGGAGAUGAUGUAAUUUGCUAACAACUUCCAAUUUCUAAUAUUUAGAGACUGAGAUGCUAUGUUAGCCUCUCCUAGUACAUCUGAGACUUCUGAACCUCCCUAUCAGAGUCUUCUCCACAUCUGAUAUCCCCUGCUUAGGAACCCAACUCACUUUAUUUCUGAACCUCUCUAUCAGUCAUGUGCUCUCAAGUUUUAGCAUCGUAUUUUUCUCCUAGUUUUUUAUUUUAGUGUAUUAGAAAAUAUUUUUGCUUUUGUUGGCAAACAGGAAGCUUUUUGCAUUGAUUUACCUCCAUCUCAUCACUAGCUUGAGACAUUUACAGCAAAUAGGAGACUGUUUUGGAGUCAGAAAGACUCAGGUUCAAGUCCCACCUCUGCCACUUCCCAGAUACAGAACUUUGAGCAUGUUAAAUAUGCUUCAAGCCCUUUAAACUUCAGUUACUUCAUCAUACUGGCUAACACAUUCAUAGUAUUGACUAUGUAUUGAGCAUUGUGUUAACCACUUUCCUCUACUGCCUCCUUUACAUGUCCCAACAACCUGUGAGGUAAGUUCUGUUGUGUUCCCUCUUUUACAUAUGAGACACACUGAAGCUCUGAUUAAGUAACUUGCCUGACAUGUCUGGUAAGUAGCAGAGCUAGAAUUUGAAUCCAGGCAUUCUGUGUUCCCAUUAUUCCAAACUGAUUCAUUUAUAAAAUGGAGAUAAUUAUAACUUCCUCAAGGAUUGCUGAGGGAUUGAAUUAUAAAAUAUGCAGACAGUCCUUAGCACAUAAUAAAUCACUCAGUAGAUAGAAUCUGUAAGAAAUAGCAAUAAGUUUUUUUCCCUUUAUUCUAUUCCACACUUUUCCUUCACUGCUUUAGAUUAUUAAUAACAAGGGUAUUAUUUUCUUUCAGUCUCUUUGCUAUGGUGCUUCUGAAAAUCACUGUCUUCUACAGCAGAUCUGGAGAGUAGAUCAGAACAUUUUUCAGUGGGGAUGUUUUUUCAUGCAGCCCUAUGUGAUACACAAAUUUACAUAUGCCCAUGGUGGGCAUUAAUUACAUGGCUUCUAGUUCUAUCCCCACAAAUACCAUACAUCUGGGGCAAGGGGGAUAAAUAAGUGAUCUCAUUAGGUGGCAUCUUCUCCUUGCCUAAAACCUGGCAGAUCGUCUUAGCUAUAAAAACAGGCACACUGGAAUCCGGGUCUUAUAUCAGUAGAAGAAUACUUAAUUUUUCUCUGUAUUUAUUAUAGCUGUUCUAAAGAAAUUCCAAUG